CCAAGUCCCUGAAUAAACAUGCAUGAAGCGCGCACCUGAAGCAGCUCAUGGAACCCAGGCUACAAUUCGGUACCCAUCUCUCACAUCACACAGACCUCGGACCACAACCAACGCCCUGGGAAACAAAUCCUGGACAAGGAGCAGAGCAGAGCACAGCAGCCAAACCAAGGCCUACAAUGCUCCUUAUUUCCCAAACUGAGAGGAGGUGAUUACCUCCAGAUGACCCAGAGAAGAUUACUUGCCAGUCCAGCCUCUACAGCUGUGCCUGAGAACAAGGACUCCUUGGAAUAGUACAUAGUCUCGCCAUGUUUAAAGACGCAUUACCAUUUAUUUUGUAAACAGUUUUUAUUUUGUUUUCUGUAAAUAAAUAUGCAUAAGAUUGUUAA